rnacentral:rRNA from 1 species
CCUACGGGAGGCUGCAGUGAGGAAUAUUGGUCAAUGGACGCAAGUCUGAACCAGCCAUGCCGCGUGCAGGAGGACGGCUCUAUGAGUUGUAAACCGCUUUUGUACGAGGAUAAUAACAGAUACGCGUAUCUGCUUGAAAGUAUCUUACGAAAAAGGAUCGGCUAACUCCGUGCCAGCAGCCGCGGUAAUACGGAGGAUCCAAGCGUUAUCCGGAUUUAUUGGGUUUAAAGGGUGCGUAGGCGGUUUGAUAAGUUAGAGGGCAAAAUUCGGGGCUCAACGCCGGGCGUGCCUUUAAUACUGGAUGACUAGAGAAUGGAUGCGGUAGGCGGAAUGUAUGGUGUAGCGGUGAAAUGCGUAGAGAUCGUACAGAACACCGAUUGCGAAGGCAGCUUACCAAACUAUAUCUGACGUUGAGGCACGAAAGCGUGGGGAGCAAACAGGAUUAGAUACCCGUGUAGUC